UUGUGUCACAAUAAUAAUUCAACUUAAUACAAGAGGAACCGUUGAUUCACACAAUUGGUCAUUGCGCUUGGUUGAAAAGCCAGUGGCACAAAGCUACCAUGCGUGGGAUUAUGACUGAACACCUCUAAGUCAGAAUCUGUGCUAGAUGUGGCACUAUCUACCUCACGCGUUGUUACUUGAUCUUGGAAAGGGGUGGCACGUGCACCCCCGAGGACCUGUGCAUGUGCUUGCGGUUGACCUUGCCGCUUGUGUUGGACCGGUAAAUACAAACUGAACGGCUUCAGAGAUAAAUUCUUUGCAGACGACUUAAAUAAGGGACAGGGUAUUGUAAGUGGCAAAGUAGCCUUGCUACUAUGAUUUGCUGAGGUUCAUCCCACCUGUCUCCAAGAUUU
rnacentral:rRNA from 1 species